rnacentral:tRNA from 1 species
GCCAAAGUAGCUCACUUAGGAGAGCAUUAUGCUGAAGAUCUAAAGGUCCCUGGUUCAAUCCCAGACUUUAGUA